UUUUAAAGCAAAUGAAAUCACACGCAUAUCGGCACAUGUAUCGGGGUGCCUCGGGUUUAGGUCGAUAUAUGGGAUAUGCGGAGGAAUAAC
rnacentral:sRNA from 1 species